AUGCUGACAUAAGUAACGAUAAUGCGGGUGAAAAACCCGCACGCCGGAAGACCAAGGGUUCCUGUCCAACGUUAAUCGGGGCAGGGUGAGUCGACCCCUAAGGCGAGGCCGAAAGGCGUAGUCGAUGGGAAACAGGUUAAUAUUCCUGUACUUGGUGUUACUGCGAAGGGGGGACGGAGAAGGCUAUGUUAGCCGGGCGACGGUUGUCCCGGUUUAAGCAUGUAGGCGGAGGUUCCAGGUAAAUCCGGUACCUUUUUAACGCUGAGGUGUGAUGACGAGGCACUACGGUGCUGAAGUAACAAAUGCCCUGCUUCCAGGAAAAGCCUCUAAGCAUCAGGUAACACGAAAUCGUACCCCAAACCGACACAGGUGGUCAGGUAGAGAAUACCAAGGCGCUUGAGAGAACUCGGGUGAAGGAACUAGGCAAAAUGGUGCCGUAACUUCGGGAGAAGG
rnacentral:rRNA from 1 species